rnacentral:rRNA from 1 species
GACAGAGGGUGCAAACGUUGCUCGGAAUUAUUGGGCGUAAAGCGCACGUAGGCGGUCCCUCAAGUCGGGUGUGAAAGCCCUCGGCUUAACCGAGGAAGUGCAUUCGAAACUAAGGGACUUGAAUACUGGAGAGGAUGGCGGAAUUCCCGGUGUAGAGGUGAAAUUCGUAGAUAUCGGGAGGAACACCAGCGGCGAAGGCGGCCAUCUGGACAGAUAUUGACGCUGAGGUGCGAAAGCGUGGGGAGCAAACAGG